GACGAACGCUGGCGGCGUGCUUAACACAUGCAAGUCGAACGGAAAGGCCCUGCUUUUGUGGGGUGCUCGAGUGGCGAACGGGUGAGUAACACGUGAGUAACCUGCCCUUGACUUUGGGAUAACUUCAGGAAACUGGGGCUAAUACCGGAUAGGAGCUCCUGCUGCAUGGUGGGGGUUGGAAAGUUUCGGCGGUUGGGGAUGGACUCGCGGCUUACCAGCUUGUUGGUGGGGUAGUGGCUUACCAAGGGUUUGACGGGUAGCCGGCCUGAGAGGGUGACCAGGCACAUUGGGACUGAGGUACGGAGCAGACGCGUACGGGGGACAGCGGUGGGGAAUAUGACACAGUGAGCGGGAGCCUGAUAAGGCGACGCCGCGUGCGGGAUGACGGCCUUCGGGUUAUGAACCGCUUUCGCCUAUGACGAAGCGUGAGUGACGGUAAUGGGUGAAGAAGCACCGGCUAACUACGUG
rnacentral:rRNA from 1 species